UACGUAGGGUGCAAGCGUUAAUCGGAAUUACUGGGCGUAAAGCGUGCGCAGGCGGUUAUGUAAGACAGAUGUGAAAUCCCCAGGCUCAACCUGGGAACUGCGUCCGAUACUGGCAGGCUUGAAUCCGGGAGAGGGAUGUGGAAUUCAGGUGUAGCGGUGAAAUGCGUAGAUAUCCGAUGGAACACCGGUGGCGAAGGCGGCUUACUGGGUCUCUACUGACGCUGAGGCACGAAAGCUAGGGUAGCAAACGGG
rnacentral:rRNA from 1 species